rnacentral:rRNA from 1 species
GUGUCAGCAGCCGCGGUAAUACGGAGGGUGCGAGCGUUGUUCGGAAUUACUGGGCGUAAAGGGCGCGUAGGCGGCUAUUUAAGUCAGAUGUGAAAGUCCACGGCUCAACCGUGGAAGUGCAUUUGAAACUGGAUGGCUUGAGUACUGGAGGGGGUGGUGGAAUUCCCGGUGUAGAGGUGAAAUUCGUAGAUAUCGGGAGGAAUACCGGUGGCGAAGGCGACCACCUGGCCAGAUACUGACGCUGAGGUGCGAAAGCGUGGGGAGCAAACAGGAUUAGAAACCCUAGUAGUCC